rnacentral:rRNA from 1 species
UACGAAGGGGGCUAGCGUUGUUCGGAAUCACUGGGCGUAAAGGGCGCGUAGGCGGCCUGAUAAGUCGGGGGUGAAAGCCUGUGGCUCAACCACAGAAUUGCCUUCGAUACUGUUAGGCUUGAGACCGGAAGAGGUAAGUGGAACUGCGAGUGUAGAGGUGAAAUUCGUAGAUAUUCGCAAGAACACCAGUGGCGAAGGCGGCUUACUGGUCUGGUUCUGACGCUGAGGCGCGAAAGCGUGGGGAGCAAACAGG